AUUGAACGCUGGCGGCAGGCCUAACACAUGCAAGUCGAACGAGUGGCGGGCGUGUGAGUAAUGUCUGGGGAACUGCCUGAGUGAGGGGGAUUACUACUUGGAACGGUCGCUGAUAACGGAUACUCUAAGCUGUGCCCGGAUGGGAUUAGCUUGCUGGUGGGGUAACGGCUCACCAAGGCGACGCUCCCUAACUGGUCUGAGAGGAGGACCGGGCAGCCUGGAACUGAGAGACAGCCCAGACUCUGACGGGGGGAAGCAGUGGGGAAUAUUGCGGAAGGGGCGAGAGCCUGAUACAGCAAUGCCGAGGGAAUGAAGAAGGCCUUAGGGUGGUAAAGUACUUUAAGCUGUGAGGCGUUACCAUAAGAAGAAGCCCCGGCUAACUCCGUGCCAGCCGCCGCGGUAAUAC
rnacentral:rRNA from 1 species